rnacentral:rRNA from 1 species
AUUGAACGCUGGCGGCAUGCCUUACACAUGCAAGUCGAACGGCAGCGCGGACUUCGGUCUGGCGGCGAGUGGCGAACGGGUGAGUAAUACAUCGGAACGUACCCUGUUGUGGGGGAUAACUAGGCGAAAGAUUAGCUAAUACCGCAUACGACCUGAGGGUGAAAGUGGGGGACCGGAAACGGCCUCAUGCAGCAGGAGCGGCCGAUGUCUGAUUAGCUAGUUGGUGGGGUAAAGGCCCACCAAGGCGACGAUCAGUAGCUGGUCUGAGAGGACGAUCAGCCACACUGGGACUGAGACACGGCCCAGACUCCUACGGGAGGCAGCAGUGGGGAAUUUUGGACAAUGGGGGCAACCCUGAUCCAGCAAUGCCGCGUGUGUGAAGAAGGCCUUCGGGUUGUAAAGCACUUUUGUCCGGAAAGAAAUCGCGCUGGUUAAUACCUGGCGUGGAUGACGGUACCGGAAGAAUAAGCACCGGCUAACUACGUG